rnacentral:rRNA from 1 species
UCGAAAGCCUGUCCCAGUUCGGACUGGAGUCUGCAACCCGACUCCACGAAGUUGGAUUCGCUAGUAAUCGCGCAUCAGCCAUGGCGCGGUGAAUACGUUCCCGGGCCUUGUACACACCGCCCGUCAAGCCAUGGGAGCCGGGGGCGCCUGAAGUCCGGGACCGCAAGGACCGGCCUAGGGCGAAACUGGUAACUGGGGCUAAGUCGUAACAAGGUAAC